CCUCACGCGGGGGCCAUGUUGAGGCCGCCAUCUUGCCACCUUUGGAGACGCCAGUUCGAAGGCCCUGGGCUGCACGGGAUGGAGAGAGCCCCGCGCGGAGUCCUGCCUUCUGCUGCUGCAGCUGUGUGAGGUGACUAUGGUAGAGUAAUGGUAAUAACUGCAGGAUGGAGGUCUCCUAUUCUACAAAACUGUACUAAAGUCCUCUUGGUUUAAAACAGAAUACAAAACCACUUGCUAAAACCUGGAUCACACAACUGGAGGACAGGUCAUUGAUUUAGCACUUACAUCUUUGACAACUGCACACCAAACAUUUUACUGUUGUCUUUUAAGAGACAUCUGUAUACAAGGAUCAUAAACACCCCAAGUCUCAUCUCUUUCAAAUACAAAAAGGUAAGUCUUCAAUUGCAAACUGUUCUAACAGAAUAUGUAUCCUGUACUGUAUAUUUAUAACCAGAGUUGCAAUUACAAUGACAUUAUUCAAUAUUAACUUGUUAUUAAAUAUUCUUAAGUAGUAUUCAAAAAGUAGAAUUGUUAGGAAAGACAAAAACUAUUUCAAACAAGUUACUGUAGAAUAUAGACUUAUAUAAUUUACAAUGAAUAAAUAUGUGCAAAUGUCCUCAAUGUUUAAAGUCAACUGAAAUGUUAGUGCUAUGGGCUUAACUUCAGUAGAGGUUCAUAGUAAACAAAAUGGAGAAGAGGGUAAAAUAUAUUUUAUCACACUGUAUUCUGGCACACACCCAGCUGAUGUUUGUCUAAGAUGAUGCAAUGGUUGAGUCAUAAGUAGCUCACUGAUGCCAUGUUCAAAAGUACAGCCACAAUCCAAACAGUAGGAAUAACAGAAAUAUCAGGUAGGUAGAACUAUAUUAUGCUUUAAGAAUUUUUAAUAACUUUCCUUUUAGUGAUUUCACUUGACCCGUUAAUGAAUUGAUGCUAAUCUCACCGUGUGUGGGGGCUGGCAGGGCAUACAUGCUCUAUAUCAAUAAUCUCAUUAUUUUAUCUUGACAUAUGCACAUAUGCUAACUCUCACUGUGUGUGUGGGGGGGGGCUGGCAGGGCAUACAUGCUCUGUAUCAAUGACCUCAUUAUUUUAUCUUGACAUCAUCUCUGAGAAUGAUUGUUUUAACAUCUCCAUUUUGAGGAUAAAGGCAAGACUAGUAAACAAGUUCCAGGAGCCAAGGUCACCACCUUGGUAUCUUCCUGGCAACAAGAAGCUAUUUUCAAACUUACAGUCCAGGAGUUUAUUGCUUUCUAUUGGUGUUCUGCAUGUUGAUGCCAUACGGAUACAAAGGUUACCAUGGACAUAUACUGAUAGUCAUCUUUGAAAAGAAGUUGAACAUCUCAAGUAAAGGUUUUAUGGCAGUAAACUACCAAAACAUUAACAACAAAAAGAUCCCUCAAGCUGUUGGAGGACUGAAUCAGAAAGUCCUGAGCAAAGGAACAAGGGAAACAAGGUUCUGUAUCAGAAGUCAGGAAACAUGCUGUGUGCUUCGGACCAUGCGUGCAACUAGUAAGACAAGAGUUUGUCUUUAUAAAGCAUCAGUAGUUCACUGUGGAAGAUGUAAGGAAAUAUAAGUUAUAUAUAUUAUGAAAGGUAGAGGGGGCCUUAACAACCAGACACUAGCACAGUCUAUAAACCGAGCAAAUUAAAGUUUCCCAAAUUUAAAUUUGGGACAUUUUCUGGAUUAAGAGAGGAUAAAAUACAACUGUCAGAUCCCAGUUGUGGUCAAAAUGUUUUUUUGUUUUUUUUUAAAUUUUGGUGCCAGGGUCUCUCUACAGACCAGGCUGGCCUCAAACUCACAGGAAAUCUUCCUGCAUCUGCGUCUCAAGUGCUGGUAUUAAAGGCAGGCACUACCACACCAGGCUAAGAUGAAAUAGUCUUAAAAUAUGUCAAAAUCAAAAUAAUGAAAAGAAAAAUCAUUGAUACAGAGCAUGUAUGCCCUGCCUGCCCCCCCUACACACAGUGAGAGUUAGCAUAUGUGCAUAUAUCAAGAUAAAAUAAUGAGAUUGACAGGAAAACAGUUGUGAAAAAGAGAAACAUUGUAGUCACUCUGUAGUAUAAGGAGUGACAUUUUCUUCACGAAUAGAAAGCAUUUAGACUCUGAUAAUCAAGUAAGAUUGUUUGCUAGGGACAUGUUACCUGGUUGUGGGAAACUGACUUCUGGCAUUUCUAAAGCAGUGUUAAGAGGGUGGCUUGUAUAUGGUUGGUCUCCAUGAGUUACAAUAGAAGCUGUGAUUAAUUAACUUUGCA